UGAAGUCAUGAGUACACACACCUCAGUUCCCUAGACACAUUCCCAUUUUAAAAGUAAGGCCCCAGACACCCUUAAUACACACAGAUAUACUGUAUACACUGUUCUAGAGCACACUGUGAUGAACACUUAGCAUACACGGUCACAAAUGAUUCCAGGCUGUUCUGUAGCACAUGCUAGGGUUGGGCGAUAGGAUGAUGUAAUCGGAUAUCGACGAUGUCUUACAAAGAUCCCGAUUGCGAACAGACAAUAUUGGGAAAUGGCAAAACCAUGGAUCUUGGAAGUUGCCAAAUAUAUUAAACAGUGGCCAUGAUGUGAAACUAGCACCCGCCACCCUCAAAAUGCGACGAGGCUGAAUCGAGUUCGCAAGCUCCUCGUCCAAAUGUAUUUCAUGCAUGGGUAAUUUUGCUCAUCUACCCGCAAUAUGCAGGCGACCUGUAAGAUGUCUCAGAGUGACACAUGACAAGAAAUGCUGUUAGUCACAAAGACACGUGCUUGAAGAAACACACUUUAUUAUAUUUUUAAGAACGGACAAAAGAAAAGCCUUCAAUGCUUGUGUCUGAUUCGCUGUUCGUACAGAGGCGUGCAGCACAAGCCUGUCUCGUGGAACAAGCCCAUGUAAAGUGUUUUCACUCUUUUUUUUUCUCAGUUUCAUUCAUCUGAAAACUGUUUGCAAAAAUAAUGUCGUCUGUGAGAAUGCUGCAAAUUAUCUCCAAUCAUCUCGGGUGGUGCUGUGAGUUUAGUUCGCUUUAUUUCCACGCGGUUAGCAUGCAUUGUGAACUCUGCAGGUUCAGUAAUAUAUAUCUUUGUAUUAAAGACACAAAGACGAAAGUGAUUAAAUCAUAAAAUAAUACAAGACAUGUUCACCUUGAACCUAAAAUUUAGUUCUAUUUUCUUUUCUUUAGGCAGUAUUAACUGUAUUACCAAAACGCAAUACAAACAAUAUUUGAUAAGAACACACAUUAGGCAGCAUCACUAUAUUGGGAACACGAGAAUUUAUUAGGCUUUAUUAUUAUGAUUAUUAUUGUCUUUACAUUUAUGAUUGUCUUAAUCUGUAGGCAAUUAGUAAUUUUCCACCUGGUGUCGUUGACGGAUGCUGCCGUUGGAGACAGUCAAUGUUUGGAUUUGGGGAGGUGGUUAAAUACGAUUUUUUUGAUCGCUUUAUUUUAUUGCUUUUUCGUUUAGUUUAAAGUGCAAUUUGAAUUUAGAAAUGUAUUUUCUUCAUGUUUUACGUGUUUCAAUAAAUUAAUACAUUUUUUAAAGUAAAAUCUAUAAAGCAAAAAAAUUCACCGACCCUCAGCAAGGGGGGUUGAUGAUGUAAUCGGAUAUUGUGAUGUUUUUUUAAAGGGAUUAUUGAUAAAAUAAUUUUUACAUAUCACCCAGCCCUAGCACACGCUGCUGAACACAAAUUCGUUCUAAAAUGUUUUAUGAAGAAUGAGUACUGGGUGGAUGCUGGGAGGAUGCUGAACUGGUCAACGCAGUGACAUGAUCUUUAUUGAAUCAAAGCUGCUUUUCCACCAUCGGGCUGAACAGUUCUCAUCGAAAACCAUACCGUUACGUGAUGAUCCUGGACAGUUGGCAUGGUUACAGUUUCUUUUUCCUCUGUGGUGUGGUGAAAUCGGGAGAAUGCAUGUAACAGAUCCGUCUGUUGGCGAUGGCAUAAGUAAGAGGUAAGCACUGGAGUGAGUGCUGCGCGCUAUGGAGGAGGAUCGCAAAUUCCAGUUUUUAGGACUGCCUUUUCCCUGGUUUUACUUACUCUCCUAUCAAACAGCAAAGACUGUGCCACAAGAAGGAAAGUAAAGAAAAAAAGGCAAGAGGUUUACCAUCAUUUACUGAGUGCCACCGGACACAAACAUGCAGAAAGGUAGAAGAUUACAGACUAGCUAAAAAUGAUAUUUAUUGACAAAUUAUUAUACAAGUAUUAUAUAAAAAUAGUAUAUGAAAAUAUUUUGAUGUAUUUUGAGUUAAAUGAGCUAGUAAUCUACUUCCCUGAUGAAAAAGGCAUGUAGAAACUAAACGAGUUGCCAUGUACUAAAGCCAUUCAACCAGCAUGCUUGAGAACAGUUGAGUACGGUUAGCUAACCGUGCCGAGAAUUCCGGGCAGAGAAUGGUUUAUAAUUGCGCCGUGCCGAACCGUGCUCAAGUGGAAAUGCUACUGUAACCGUUCCAUACUGUGCUCAGCCGUUCGGCCCAAUGGUGGAAAGCGGCUAUUGAUUACAUUCUGAUGCUAUUUUUACAGUUAUGCCCUUGUUGGGCAUGUAGGUUGAUGAAUUAAAUGUUUGGUAUGUGAAGGACUGUACACUGUUUUCUUUUAUAUAGUGGAGUUUAAAAAAAAAUUAUUUUCUUUUUAUAAUGCUAUAUCUGUUGAACAGGCCUUUGUUUUGUUUAUAAUUGAUGCUGAAACACACUGUUACAGUUGUAGGGUCAUAGCACACACUAACAGAGCAAUCUCACUGGUUAUGAUUAAAGGUGCACUGAAAUUAUUUUCCUUAUUUAAAAAGUUUUACUUCUAAAGAAAGGAAUUGUUAUUUUGAAACAUUUAAAUAAAGUCAUAGCCACUCUAAUGAGAUAAAGACUCCAGUCAUAUCAGUAACCUUAUUAAAUCUGUUUUAUUCUACAUAGACAGGGUCCCCUCAUGGGGGCUGCCAUGUUAGGAUCACAUUACCGGCCAAAUACUACUUGCUUAGUUAAUCUUAGUAACCACCCUGUUAUUAGAUAUUUUCACUCAUGGAUUAAUCAUGGCAGACUGUGAGUAGAUAAAUUCUACAACAGCAUCAGUAACUAAAAGCUAUUGCAUUUGAAUGAUGUUGCAACCACGCCCCUAGGUGUCAGUGUAAGUCCAAGACAAAAUAUUUUUAAAAAUGACUGAGAGUGCACACUGAUUCGCUUCCCGUCUUUUUCUCUACCUUUGUCUCUCCACCUCACCCACCUCUACAUUACGAGUGAUUGAUGGAGAAUUAAAUCUCAAAAAUCUCAAAAUGAAUAAUCUUCAAUUCUGUGGCCUUCCAUUGCCCCCUUGUUAUUUUGUGUACAGGAUUUCCCUUUUGUGGUUUACUGCACAUUUACCCCUGAAUGUUGUUAUAGAGCAUUGCUCCCAUACUCCUUUUACAUCACAAGAUGAUGUUAUUUAAUUUGUCAAUCACAUUAUCAUAAUGUUCAAUCAUUAUUGUGCUCUCAUUGGAGCAAGCCAGGUACUAUGCAUGCGUAAGCCAUUAUCUCAAUCACUCUCUGGCAUGCUGACAUAUAGGGGCCUUUAGAGACCAUUUUUAGAUGCAUUUUUUACAUAUAAAGGAUGUGUCUGUCUUUUAUUAACUAGCAAAGAUGUGUCUUGCUGCUCACUCAGAGCCAGAAUGAAUGUAUUCGACACAAUAUCAGCAGUGCUGUGUGUAUCCCUCAGUUAAGAGCCAUACAAUAUCCCAGUCUGUAAAUUAAAACUGCAACAUGCAUAUGGGAAGAAUGCUUUCAUGUGUUAAAUAGUAUAGAAGAUGCUAGAGCUACAUGCAAAGGAAGUGCCUUGGUAAUGUGUGUUAUGACCAACAAAGAGAGACCUAGAAUUUCAAGUCUAGGAGGCACAUCAUUUAGAGACAUUAUAAGAGGAGACUGGGCGUAUGUUUGAAUUAGAGAAAUCAUAACACUAAACUGUAGUCCUGCCUUUUAUUUAAAAGAGCCAUGCGCCUUUUUGAAAGAGGCAUUGCAGCACUCUAUAUGGUCUCUGUAAGAAUGCAUUUCCCACCUUAAGGUUUUGGCACUUUUAACCCUGCAUGGUGAAAUUCUGUAGGUGGAUGUUAAUCGAUUGUGAAACAUGCAAAAACUACUUGUCAAGCAGUCUCAUUUUUUACAUUUUUAUGCUAUACUUUAUACUCUGGGAAAGUGUUCCAAAGAAACUCGCUGCUAAAAUUAUUUCCUCAUCUAUUGUUAAUAUUCAGUGUAGCUAUGUAUGAAGCACUGGCCACCAAGAGGUCACCGCCAAACCUAGUAAAUCCCUAUUGGUCAACACUGAAUAUUCACGUGUCCAGUUCAUCAAACUUGAAACCCACCCAAAAUUUGCUUUGUAAAAUUUUGUUUCCAUUGAAUGUACAUCAGACAAAAUUCCUCAUCGUGCUGAUUCCCAUUGAGUAAUGGGACUGUAUUUCGCCCCAUGUAAUUUCUCAAAGGUAAUGUAAAUGUGACUGAACCUUUAGAGUAGGGGGAAAAAUCAAUUCUUUUACAAAUCACGAUUUUUGAGCCAAAUGGUUUUAAAAUCGACUCCCUGAUGAAAAUCUUUUUGUUAUUUAAGAAUAAAAAACAUGUUCAUCUUAAUGCUACAGUGAUUAAUAGAUAAAUAUAGUAAGCUAUAUUUGUGCAGAGUUCCACAUAGCAGGUUUUCUCUCUGAGAAGUUUUGUCUCUAAUUCUUUAUGUUUAGUCCUUUAAUGCACCACUGCUACAGCCAUCAAAUGCCAUUUGUUCACUGUCGGGCCUCAAAAUCCUCUGCUCUGAUCAGUGUUCCUGUUAUUAUGCAUAAUCCACAAGUUUAUUUAAGAGGUGUUGUGGAGAGUGUUUGUCAGAAUUCAUUCUGCAGAUUCUUUCUGUCACUGCUUUAAUAAAUAGUUUAGUUGUUAAAAAAGGCUUAUCAAACUUUUGGAUGCCGUAAACUACAUGUCGCACCCCCGCAAUAUUUAUAAUCUAACAGCCAGGGUAUUUAUGAGCAGUGGCGGGCAAUUUCAUACAUUUACUUGCCACUGUUGAUGAAUAAUGUGACGCGUGCUUGAGGAAAUACACCUGAUAAUGUUUUGAAGAACAGAUGAAAGAAAUGCCUGAGAUGCCCAUGUCUGAUUGGCUUUUUUUGUUCAUAACUUAAUUUGCGCUUUGGCUCCAAUGCCCACAGCACGAUUGUGUCUCGUGGAACAUACGCAAAUUGUGAGUUCUCACUUUUUUUCUCUGUCAGUCAUCUGGGAGAUCUCAGGAUGCAUAUGCAAAUAACAUGCAACGACACUGGGACUACAGGUGAAAUGUCAUGUGUGUCAUAAUUCAGUACAGCCCCAGAAAUGGUUCUUGAACAAGUUUACUCUUUAGCCUCCAUUUGUAUGUUGCAAAAUUAUCAUUAUGAUAAUAGUAAUGGUCUAUGGUAAUAUGUUAUAUUGUAUAUUCUAAAAUAAAAAAAAUAAUAGUUUGAUAAGUUAAAAUGAUAUAUUUUAUAUUUAUUUGUUGAAUACAAAUGGACAUAAUGCAGCCUUAUAGACUACAUGGGUUCCUUUGCACUAACUAGACGCCUAGCUCAGAAAUUGGUAGUUUUGCAUAUACUUACAGAAUUACAAUAUCGCAAUACAUAUAGAAUUGGCUUGGAAAUAUUGUAAUAUUGAAUCGGGAGGUCUGUGGCAAUUCCCGCCCCUACUUUAGAGUUAAAUAGUCCUGUUUGUUUGCACAAGAACAUGCAUGCACAUUAGUCAAAAAAAAAUUUUUUUUUAUGGAGGCAAAUAUACCUCAUUCACACUGGGCUCUGAUCCAGGAUAUUGCCGGGGUCAAUGCCAGGGAGCCCUCUUUGUGAAAGGAAGCCGGAGCCGGAAUGCCAGAAAAUUUGGUCCCAGGAUCAGACCCUAGUAACAUUGCCGGGAUCAAUCCCACAUGUUUGUGUGAACAAAAGGCAGAGCCGAUACCGGAAAUUAUGUGUGUUGUAGUGAUGAUGUAUUAAUCAUGAGAAAGAGAGAGUCUGUACACUGUAAAAAAUGUCUAUUUUGGAAAAUUUAGUAAGUUGAUAAUUAAAUGUUGGCUCAAUAAAAGACAUGCAAAUAAUUGCCCUAAAACAGAAAUAUGUAUUGUGGUGAUAGCAGCUCGAUGUUUUCCAUUAAAAUUUAAAAUAUACUAUAUUCACCGUAAACAUUUAAAUGUGUUCAGGUUAAUGUCAAGUGGAACUGAAAAAUUUGUUUUGGCUGAGCAAAUCAUAGAAUGCUUAAAACGGACUACGCAUGCGCCUGAGAAAACAACAGUAGUACUUUGGAAAAGGCACGUGCGGUUGUUGGAGACUGGUGCUGCUGGGUGGAGAGCGCAAGCGGUGCCAAAGUCCAAAGAUACGAAUGAACGUCGGUCCCAAGAGAAGAGAAAGACCGUCGUCCUGACUUUCAUAAAUUGAGCGGUUUUCCAUCUUCAGAACUCCUUGAAAUUACUCUGAAGAAAGGUGGCAGACUUGACAGCACAGAGAAGGUCCACUGCUCUUCGGGGUCUUAUCUUGAAUUUGAGAGAGCAGGGCUGUAUUUCAAAGACCAUUCAGAAUACUGAGGCAUGGGAGAACCACACAAGCAGCACAAAAAUGGCAAUAGUUGAAGUGGUGAACAACAAUAUUUCCAUCAACAUCAUGAUAAUUUUCCAAUGUGGUCAAUGUUGCAGUUGUCUUGGAAUAGUAGGUGGUUAUGGAUAACGUGGGAGACUUUACUAAUACGUUCAUUAACUAAGUUUCCAUCCAAGGAUUUUUUUUUGCUGAAAAAGUUUUAGCGCAUCAAAAUAAAGCUGAUGGAAGCACAAAUUAUCACUAAAAUUUCACAAGUGUCGACAUAAUAUUUUUCCGUUUAACUCUAGUGCAUAAACUCGUGUCGAUACUUCUGAUGUCGCGAAAAACUGGUUUGGAAACACUUUUUGUCAAGAAAAUUGGCAUUAACGCAAAAAUUUAGUGUCACAUGACCGAAUUUAACCCAAUCGUUAGCCUGUGUUAAUCAUGAUGACAAGGCAUCCAUCCUUGUAAGCCAAUUUAUUGUACGUGAUUAUGGAUUGAUCUGAACGGCAUAAAGAUCCGAUCACUGCAAACAUGACACUUCCAGGAGUGCCAACACAAAUAUCUCGUAUCAAGACAUGCACAUUGACAAGUGCACAGAGAACAAAUUAAUGGCCACUGUUUGUGAUUAAUUUAAUCGUGGUAACCAUCCAUUUAUUUAUUAAAGUUGCUUUUCCACACCAUUCAAAAUAAUAGACGGCAGUCAUUGAAUUAGCCCACAAUACAAAAAAAAAAACAUAUAAUUUCUGUGUACAAAGAUGUUUUAAAUUAAAAAUAAAUACACAAUACUAGGAGAAAAGCUUCAGUGUGCUUUAUUGGAACACUAACAUAUAGUCCAAUUAUAUUAAAUUAUUGUUUAGCUUUUGAAAAAAUGGCAGCAAAAUUCCCUGUAUUAAAUUAAAUAAAUUACAAGGUGAACAAAGCAUUAAAUAAAAUAAUUAAUUACCAAAUUAAAAAAUUUAUAUAUUUUUAGAUUCUAUGCCUUUUCUUUACACAAACUUAGUGUUUUUUUUAGGCAUGACAUCAUCAUGCACACCAUUUAAUCGAUAAAAGGCCAUUUGAAUGGAAACAGGCAGAAGACGGCAAAUUUCACUUUGUAAAAAAAUUUUUUUACGCAUUUUCACUUUUUCGAUAACAAAGUAGCGCAAAAAGUGGAUGGAAACUAGGCUAUUGUCUUCUUUGGAAAGAGGAUAACAUGGACUUCAAAUUUAUGUACUAUAUAUUUUCUCUUUUUUUGGGGGGGGGGCGCAGUUAUAUCAGUUUCAUGAUUAUGCUGUAAUUUCUUCUGUAAGAUGCACUGCCAGUUCUGCAAAUAUUUGUCCCAUGUGUUUUCAGAUGUUUAUUAUGUUUAAAGUGUAUGGAGCAAUUCGAUGGACCUACCUCUCAUAUUCAUCUUGAAUAUACAGUGCAUUCAUAAAGUAUUCAGACCGCUUCAUUUUUUUCAUGUUUUGUUAUGUUGCAGCCUUAUGCUAAAAUUAUUGAAAUUAUUUUUUUCACAUCAAUCUACACUCCAUAUCCCAAAGCAAAAAUCUGAUUUUUAAUAACUUGCAGAUUUAUUAAAAAGAAAAUUUUUUAUUCAGAUCCUUUGUUAUGACACUUGAAAUUUAGCUCCGGUGCAUCUCAUUUCUCUGGAUCAUCUUUGAGAUGUUUCUACACUUUGAUUGGAGUCCACCUGUGGCAAGUUCAAUUGACUGGACAUUAUUUGGAAAGGCACACACCUGUCUAUAUAAGGUCUCACAGCUGAAAAUGCAUUUCAGAGGAAUAACCAAGCCAUGAGGUCAAAGAAACUGCCUGCAGAGCUCAGAGACAGGAUUGUAUCGAGCCACAGAUCUGGGGAAGGCUACAAAAUUAUAUUUGCUGCAUUGACGGUUCCCAAGAGCACAGUAGAGCUGGCCGCCUGGGCAAACUGAGCAAUCGGGGAGAAGGGCUUUGGUAAGAGGGGUUACCAAGAACCUGAUGGUUACUCUGGUUGAGCUCCAGAGAUCAUGUGUGGAGACUGGGGAAACUUGCAGAAGGACAGCCAUCACUGCAACACUCCACCGAUCUGGUCUUUAUGGCAGAGUGGCCAGAUGGAAUCCUCUCCUCAUUGCAAGACACAUGAAAGCCUGCUUGGAAAAAAGCACCUAAAGGACUCUCAGGCUGUGAGAAACAAGAUUUUUUCUGGUCUGAUGAAACAAAGAUUGAAGUGUCAUGUAUGGAGGAAACCAGGCAAAGCUCAUCACCUGCGCAAUACCAUCCCACCGGUGAAGCAUGGUAGUGGUAGCAUCAUGCUGUGGGGGUGUUUUUCAGCGGUAGGGACUGGGGGACUGGUCAGGGUUGAAAGAAAGCUGAAUGCAGAAAAAUACAGAGAUAUCCUUAAUGAAAACCUGGUCAAGAGCGCUCAGGACCUCAGGCUGGGCCAAAGGUUCACCUUCCAACAGGACAAUGACCCUAAGCACUCAGCCAAGACAAUGCAAGAGUGGCUUAGGGACAACUCUGUGAAUGUCCUUGAGUGGCCCAGCCAAAGCCCGGACUUGAACCCAAUAGAACAUCUCUGGAGAGACCUGAAAAUGGCUGUCCACCGACGGUCUCCAUCCAACCUGACAGAGCUGGAGAGGAUCUGCAGAGAAGAACAUUUCCAAAUCCAGGUGUGCAAUGCUUGUCGCAUCAUACCCAAAAAGACUUGAGGCUGUAAUCAUUGCCUAAGGUGCUUCAACUAAGUACCAAAGUAAGGGUCUAAAUAUUUAUGUCAGUGUGAUAUUUCAGUUUUUUUUUUUUUUGUUUUUUAAUAAAUUUGCAAAGUUAUCAAAAAUCUGGUUUUUGCUUUGUCAUUAUGGGGUAUGGAGUGAAGAUUGAUGUGAAAAAAAAAAAAAACUUGAAUAAUUUAAAGCAUUUUAG